GACGAACGCUGGCGGCGUGCUUAACACAUGCAAGUCGAGCGGUAAGGCCCUUUCGGGGGUACACGAGCGGCGAACGGGUGAGUAACACGUGGGUGACCUGCCCUCAGCUCUGGGAUAAGCCUGGGAAACUGGGUCUAAUACUGGAUAUGACUCCACGGUGCAUGUCGGUGGGGUGGAAAGCCUUGUGCGGCUGAGGAUGGGCCCGCGGCCUAUCAGCUUGUUGGUGGGGUGANGGCCUACCAAGGCGACGACGGGUAGCCGGCCUGAGAGGGCGACCGGCCACACUGGGACUGAGACACGGCCCAGACUCCUACGGGAGGCAGCAGUGGGGAAUCUUGCGCAAUGGGCGAAAGCCUGACGCAGCGACGCCGCGUGAGGGAUGACGGCCUCGG
rnacentral:rRNA from 1 species